ensembl:lncRNA
CUCCGAGUAAUUUCCCUGAAAUAUUUGCAGGAUCUGAUCUACAUUGUAUUCAGCAGCUGGUUUGUCUGAGCUGUGCACUGGAAGGAGUAAAACAAAGGAUGGGCUCUUCACAGACUGAUACUUUUGUCUUCCCAACUUGAUCCCAGCAAAAUUUGGAACAUCCUAAGGUCCACAAAAGUAGUAAACUUCCAUGAUACCUUUGAAUUCCUGGAACAAUACUGCACCUCUUUCAGUCCCUCAUAUACCUUAUAUUACUUGAAAGUUUGGGUCCAAACAUCUGCAUACAGUUAAGCUCCAAUGAACAAAUUUCAAGGUGAUAAUUUAUGUGAAGAAGAAUCCAGUUGAAUAGUAAUGCAUGGAAAAUCAUGACA